CGGGGCGUAGCGCAGCCUGGUAGCGCACUUGCAUGGGGUGCAAGGGGUCGGAGGUUCGAAUCCUCUCGCCCCGACCA
rnacentral:tRNA from 8 species